rnacentral:rRNA from 1 species
AUUGAACGCUGGCGGCAGGCCUAACACAUGCAAGUCGAGCGGUAGAGAGAAGCUUGCUUCUCUUGAGAGCGGCGGACGGGUGAGUAAUGCCUAGGAAUCUGCCUGGUAGUGGGGGAUAACGUUCGGAAACGGACGCUAAUACCGCAUACGUCCUACGGGAGAAAGCAGGGGACCUUCGGGCCUUGCGCUAUCAGAUGAGCCUAGGUCGGAUUAGCUAGUUGGUGGGGUAAUGGCUCACCAAGGCGACGAUCCGUAACUGGUCUGAGAGGAUGAUCAGUCACACUGGAACUGAGACACGGUCCAGACUCCUACGGGAGGCAGCAGUGGGGAAUAUUGGACAAUGGGCGAAAGCCUGAUCCAGCCAUGCCGCGUGUGUGAAGAAGGUCUUCGGAUUGUAAAGCACUUUAAGUUGGGAGGAAGGGCAGUAAAUUAAUACUUUGCUGUUUUGACGUUACCGACAGAAUAAGCACCGGCUAACUCUGUGCCAGCCGCCGCGGUAA